UCGGAGUGCUUGCACUCUGUGAAACAAGAUACAGGCUAGCGGCGGACGGGUGAGUAACACGUGGGUAACCUGCCCAAGAGAUCGGGAUAACACCUGGAAACAGAUGCUAAUACCGGAUAACAACAGAUGAUGCCUAUCAACUGUUUAAAAGAUGGUUCUGCUAUCACUCUUGGAUGGACCUGCGGUGCAUUAGCUAGUUGGUAGGGUAACGGCCUACCAAGGCGAUGAUGCAUAGCCGAGUUGAGAGACUGAUCGGCCACAUUGGGACUGAGACACGGCCCAAACUCCUACGGGAGGCAGCAGUAGGGAAUCUUCCACAAUGGACGCAAGUCUGAUGGAGCAACGCCGCGUGAGUGAAGAAGGGUUUCGGCUCGUAAAGCUCUGUUGUUGGUGAAGAAGGACAGGGGUAGUAACUGACCUUUGUUUGACGGUAAUCAAUUAGAAAGUCACGGCUAACUACGUGCCAGCAGCCGCGGUAAUACGUAGGUGGCAAGCGUUGUCCGGAUUUAUUGGGCGUAAAGCGAGUGCAGGCGGCUCGAUAAGUCUGAUGUGAAAGCCUUCGGCUCAACCGGAGAAUUGCAUCAGAAACUGUCGAGCUUGAGUACAGAAGAGGAGAGUGGAACUCCAUGUGUAGCGGUGAAAUGCGUAGAUAUAUGGAAGAACACCGGUGGCGAAGGCGGCUCUCUGGUCUGUUACUGACG
rnacentral:rRNA from 1 species